rnacentral:rRNA from 1 species
UGAUCCUGCCAGUAGUCAUAUGCUUGUCUCGCAGCUUAAGCCAUGCAUGUCUAAGUGUAAAUGCUUUAUAGUGAAACUGCGAAUGGCUCAUUAAAACAGUCAUUGUUUGCUUGGAGAGAAUCCGUCUUUCGGAUACCUGCGGCAAUUCUACAGCUAAUACGUAGCGGCUUUUUCGGAAGCGUUGCAUUGUUUAAUCAGGACAGCCGUAGAGUCAAUCUACCUAGGAGGAACACCUUCAUGCAUGAAUCGUAUUACGAUACGAAUGUCCAUCAAAGUUCCUGACCUAUCAGGCUCCGACGGUUGGGUAUUGGCCAACUGUGCCUAUAACGGGUAACGGAGGGUUAGGGCUCGACCCCGGAGAAGGAGCCUGAGAAACGGCUACUACAUCCAAGGAAGGCAGCAGGCGCGCAAAUUACCCAAUCCCGACACGGGGAGGUAGUGACAAGAAAUAACAAAGCAAGUCUCUUCGAGGCGCUGCGUUGGAAUGAGUAGAAUUUAAAUCUCUUUACGACUAUCAAUUGGAGGGCAAGUC